rnacentral:rRNA from 1 species
ACCCUGAAUGAAAGCGGCGAACGGGUGAGUAACACGUAAACAAUCUGCCUGUAAGUCCGGGAUAACCUUGCCAACGCGGGGCUAAUACCGGAUGUAGAAUGUUUAGUCGCAUGACUGAAUAUUUAAAGGUGGCGCAAGCUACCGUUUACAGAUGAGUUUGCUGUCCCAUUAGCUAGUUGGCGGGGUAACGUGCCCACCAAGGCAGUGAUGGGUAGCCGGCCUGAGAGUGGUGAACGGCCACACUGGGACUGAGAUACGGCCCAGACUCCUACGGGAGGCAGCAGUAGGGAAUUUUGCGCAAUGGGCGAAAGCCUGACGCAGCAACGCCGCGUGAGUGAUGACGGCCUUCGGGUUGUAAAGCUCUGUUGUACGGGAAGAAAAGGUGUAUGGCUAAUAUCCAUAUUCUAUGACGGUACCGUGCGAGGAAGCUCCGGACUAACUACGUG